rnacentral:rRNA from 1 species
CCUGCCGGACCUGACUGCUAUCGGAUUGAUACUAAGCCAUGCGAGUCUUUGUAGUAAUACAAGGCAGACGGCUCAGUAACACGUAGUCAACCUACCCUAUGGACAAGAAUAAUCUCGGGAAACUGGGCAUAAUUCUUGAUAGAUCAUAAUGCCUGGAAUGGUUUAUGGUUAAAAUGAUUCGUCGCCAUAGGAUGGGACUGCGGCCUAUCAGCUUGUUGGUGAGGUAAUGGCCCACCAAGGCGAUUACAGGUACGGGCUCUGAGAGGAGAAGCCCGGAGAUGGGUACUGAGACACGGACCCAGGCCCUAUGGGGCGCAGCAGGCGAGAAAACUUUGCAAUGUGCGAAAGCACGACAAGGUUAAUCCGAGUGGUUUCUGCUAAAGGAAUCUUUUGUCAGUCGUAAAACCACUGGCGAAUAAGGGGUGGGCAAGUUCUGGUGUCAGCCGCCGCGGUAAAACCAGCACCUCAAGUGGUCAGGAUGAUUAUUGGGCCUAAAGCAUCCGUAGCCGGCUUUGUAAGUUUUCGGUUAAAUCCAUGUGCUCAACGCAUGGGCUGCCGAAAAUACUGCAUGGCUAGGGAGUGGGAGAGGUAGACGGUACUCAGUAGGAAGGGGUAAAAUCCUUUGAUCUAUUGAUGACCACCUGUGGCGAAGGCGGUCUACCAGAACACGUUCGACGGUGAGGGAUGAAAGCUGGGGGAGCAAACCGGAUUAGAUACCCGGGUAGUCCCAGCUGUAAACGAUGCAGACUCGAUGAUGCAUUGGCAUAAUAGCCAAUGCAGUGUCGCAGGGAAGCCGUUAAGUCUGCCGCCUGGGAAGUACGUACGCAAGUAUGAAACUUAAAGGAAUUGGCGGGGGAGCACCACAAGGGGUGAAGCCUGCGGUUCAA